ACUACGAGGCUAGGAAGCCGACAAUGAUGAAAUAUCUCCAAAUGGUGAAGGAUGAGGUCAAGGGCCUAAAGCAUUUCACGUUGCAACAAGUCCCUCGGUCCGAUAACAAUCAAGCAGAUGCCUUGUCCAAGCUAGCCUCCUUGGCAUCAUGUGAUACUCUGAGAUCUGUGUUCUGGGAAGUAAAAGGAGAAGCGAAGCAUUGAUGCCGAGCCCAUGUAAAUCAUUGACCAAAGCUCUACAUGGAUGGACGGAAUUAUCUCCUAUCUCAAAGAUGGAAUUCUUCCGGACGACCCAAAAGAGAGUUGGGUGAUGAAGAAAAAGGCGACAUGGUUUGAGAAGAAGGGUGGGAACUUGUUCAAGAAAUCAUUUGUCAAACCAUAUUUGAAGUAUGUUACGCCUUAGCGGGGGCAUGAAGUUCUAGAUGACUUUCAUCAGGGGCAUUGCGGAUCACACAUAGGUGGACGAGGCUUAGCUGAAAAGGUAACCCAUGUGGGCUAUUACUGGCCGAGCAUGAAUUCAGACGCUAGAGAAAUGGUGAAAAAAUGUGAUAAGUGCCAAAGAUUCGCAACCCUCAUCCUCCGUCCGACAAAUAGCUUGUUGGCCAUAAGUAGUCCUCUCCCUUUUGUAAAAUGGGGCAUGGACAUCUUGGAGCCGUAUACUCUUGCAUCAGGGCAAUGACGGUACGUGUUAGUAGGAGUCGACUACUACACGAAGUGGGUGGAGACUGAGGCCAUCCGAGGGAUCAAGUGGAAAGAUGUGUUCACCUUCAUUUGGAAGAAUAUAAUCACCCGUUUUUGUGUUCCACAAUCAAUGGUGUUCGAUAAUGGGCCCCAGUGUGAAAUAGACCAUCUCAGAGAUUGGCUGAGUGAUCAGGGCAUAACACAUUGAUUUGCCUUGGUUGGACGCCCAAAAGCCAAUGGUCAAGUUGAAGCGUACAAUAAUUGAUCAAGCGGAAGCUUGAGAAAGCAGGCGGCUUAUGGGCUGAUGAAUUGGUCAAUGUCCUAUGGUCCAAUCGAAUAACAGCCAAAAGCUCAAUAGGAGAAACCCUAUUCUUUCUUGUCUAUGGCGCUGAAAUCGUCCUCCCAAUUGAGAUGUAUGAGCCCACUUUGCGAGUGAUGUUGUAUGAUUAAUCGGCCAAUUAGGAGGCCAUAAAGACUGUCUUAAACUUUCUUCCGGAAGUUAGGGGAAACGCGACGCUUAAACACGAAAUAUAUUGUCUAAGGAUGACAAGGGCAUAUAAUCGAAAGGUGUCAAAGCGGCCGCUUAAGAUGGGAGAUCUAGUUCUGAGAAAAAUAGAAGCGGUAGGCCGAGCAAAAGAAGACGACAAGUUAACCCAUAAUUGGGAAGGGCCAUACCGAAUCAGAGAAGAAGUGCGAGAUGGUACAUACCGUCUCAAAACCUUAGAUGGUUGUCCUAUUCAAUGUACUUGGUAUGGACAAUCUAAAAAUAUAUUAUGUAUAAAGUUUUUAUACUUAGCCAAAAAAGUUGUAUAUACAACUAGGUCUAGCGACCGAGCAAUGUAAUUAAAGUCGUACGGCCAAACAAUGUAAUUUUGACCGAAUAAAUGAGAUAGUCAAACAUUGUUAAUUAAAUUUUUGCAUAAAUAUUGCGUACGACUAAGCAGAAAUGCCGCCAAAAAUUAGAAACAAUGGUUGCUAGCAACAUAGCAGCUCGGCCUCUAAAAAGGGGCAAGGUACAACGACUAGGAGAAAACCCAACAAGGUCUCUCCCAGCCAAGCAAUAUGGCCCUCGAAUGGGGCAAAUGUGGAAAGCCGGCAGAAAAAUCUAUCAAAAGUCUCUCCCAGCAAAGUAACUCAGCCAUAAUUGUCAGACUGCUAUCCAUCAGGCCAUGAUCUUGGUCAGACGGAUAAGAAAUAAGGUAGCCUAAAAUUGUUUAAGGAAUUUUAAGUCUAAGGGAAAGGAUAUACCUAAGCUAUUAAGCCAUACGAAUACUUAGAAAUUAUCAGAUUAAGAUCAUAUCUGAAAUUUCAUAAGUACAUCUAAGAGAUAGUAUCAAAGGAAGACUUGGCACAAAUUAAAUAUGAAGCCAAUUAAAUGGCCGCAUAUAGAAAUUCAUUCGACAUUUUCCUAGUCCAAGGGAAAUCAUUAUGAUUUUAAAUUAUAGUCGUCAUACCCUUUGAGGUAUAAGAUCUAUCAAGUUAAUCAAACCUCUUUAAAUAUGGACAAGACAAAAUGCCAAAUAAAGGGGCAUACCCCCAUAUCCAUUCGUACUCAAAAUAAAGGCAUAUGGCAUGAAAAAAUGCAAAAAAAUGCUAAGUAUGAAUGAAGAAAAAGGAGAGAACUUGCAUAGAUCAAAGCCGCUCAAACAGGCGGUAAAAUAAAGAAGUCAUAAUACAAUACCGCUCAAACAGGCAACAAAGAUGCAAAUUGUAUAGAACAAAGAAAUAACAAGCUAAGUAAAAAAGGCUGAUAAACUGCACCAGAAGACCGAAGCCCUUCACUUAGCCAACGCCUUGUCACCAUCAGCAUUGGGAACAGUCUUGGCCGACUCCUCUUCCUCGACCGGCUUCUCUUCCUCCUCCUCCCCCUCGUCAUCUUCUACUUCAUCCUCAUCAUCUCUUGGAGGAGGAGAGGUAGUUUCGACGAACUCAGGAGGGGGUAGUCCGACAGCUACGGCUUCCUCCUUGAGAGAGACAUGCAUGAUUUAGCCGAUGAACAAAGCGCUCCUGAUAGUAAGCGAACUCACUGAUGGGAAACAUCAUGGAGAACGCUUCAUAGAAACGGCUCUUCAGCCUCUCCUCGGCCACAUGCUCAAGUUGGACCGCCUCCUUAGGGUCGAUCAGCCGUGGUGCUUUGAGCUGCACAGUCAGGUUCGUAAUAGACUUGUUCAGUCGGUCAACCUCAAGCUUGAGGGAGUCCAAUUAGUCUAGAGUCGCCUGAAGAGCCUGAAGGCUAGAGUCCAGCUUGACCUUUAGCUUCUAAGAGGAUUCAAAGCCCUCUUUCCAUUAAGAAAUGUUAGCGACCGCCUCGUCCCUUUCUUUUUGAAGGGCCUCCCGAGCAAGCCGCUCCAGCCUAUGAGCAUCGCCCAUUAUGACGAUGUCCUCUUUUUGUUGACUUCUCGGACAGUGCAUAGAGGGCGGCUUUGUGCCGGAUCUCCUGCAUUGCUAGUAGGCCGGUGUUCUCACCCUGGACCUUCUUUAUCAUGUUCUAGGCGGCCUUGAUCUUCUCUUGCUCCUUAGAACGCCAAUCCAGGAAGGCGCUGAGUCUAAGGAAAAGCUGCAUUCGGACAGAAACAAGUUAGUAAAAGCGAAAACGUGAAAAUAAACUCACUAGUAGAAAAAAUGACAAAGGCACCCCACCUUUGGCACCAGUUUUUGAAAACCGGUGGUUAAAAAAACGGGCGGGAUUGGAAAACAAGCUUUUGGCACCGGUUCCAGCCAAACCGGUGGCAAAUUAUCUUUUUGGCACCGGUUCAAACCGGUGCCAAAUAAAAAAGAUAUUUCUUUAAAAAAAAAAAAGGGAGAAAUGGAUUUGGCACCCGAACCGGUGCAAAAUCUAUUGUAAAAUAAAAAAAAACCCGGAUAUACUCUUUCUUUCUCUUACUUUCAUUUCCUCGAUAUUUCCUCCUCUCUCAUCUGAUCUGCCUCUCUCUUUCUCUCCUCCAUUGAAGCGUACUCGAAUUUCUCCAUUGAAGGGGCUUCUGAGCUUUCUCUCAGCACUUUCCUCAAACUCCUUUGAUCUCUAUAACCGCCACUUUUCCCUUUCCUUUCAUCUCUCUUUCGAUCUCCUUCUCCUUCUCUCUUUGAGGUUAGGGUUUCUAGGUGCGUCUGUUUUGAAUCAAUUUGAUGUACAUGUGUCUUCAACAACAACAAAUUCGAAUCAAUUUCGAACCAAAAAUCAGAAAUUCGAGGUUAGGGUUUCUUGGUUAUUUAGCUUUGCGUUAUAUUGUAGCAGUUCUGAGCUUUCUCCUCCAUUGAAACAACUUCUGAGGGUUAGAUACGAAUUGCUGGAUUCUCUCUUCUGCUCGAUUAUCUGUUGAGUAAUCACCAAAAUCGAAAGUUUUAGUUUUCUAAGGAUGGUGUGAAGUAUAUUGAAGAGAUAAAAAUGAGAGUGAACCUUGUUAUCCCAACUCCACCAUCUCCAGAGUUGUUACCCCUCAACGAAACAGUGAAACAGAUUAUCAAUGAUUUGCUUAAUCCAACUGGUCAGAAUCUACGUGUAAGAGAAGAUGCCCAGGUAAGUGAACGGAAGGGCCUUGAUAUGGUGCGUUGUGAUUGGAGCUUGUUAUCAAAGGAAGUUGGGGACUAUUGCUUGAGUCCGAUACUUUCUAGAGGAUGCCGUGAGGAUGUUGUGGAGUCGAUACAUAGUUAUCUUAUGAAGCUAAUAGAAAGACCUAAAUUUUUGUUGGCCAGUGUUUAAAUAACGAAAAUAGGAAUUGAUCUUCCAGAUUCACUACUGCAUUGACAUAAUUUGAAUGUGUCACUCUUGAAACUUAAUCUGUCACUCUUAAUGGGAAUAUGUCUUGUAAAUUUGUCAUCAUUUUUUGUAUGUUAGAUAUAGUCGCAAUAAUUUAUACAAACAUCUUUCAGGAAUCAUGACAUAUGAUGGUCUCGAGAGUUGCAUUUUGAAUAGUCGACUAUACACAAGUGAGAAUUCAAUCUGUGGGGAGAAUGAUUGUCCAGCAGACUCUUUUAAUGGAGGAGAAACCAGCUGCUCAUCAAGCAAAGAUGCUUUCGGAUCUUUCUUUUCUGAUAGGACUAUGAAGAGGAACCAUGAAGAAACAGAUGAGUGGAGUGUCCCAGAAAGCCCAGAACAUAUUUUGGUUCCUUUGCACUAGAUGCAUAGAUGGAUGCAGUCAAGUCUUAUUUGGGAAUUGCUACUGCCUCUUAUCUUUGAUUGUGUAGUUUUUUUUUUUUUUUUUUUCCAGUUUUUUAAAGUGUAAUAUUAAAAGUUAUUG